rnacentral:rRNA from 1 species
GACGAACGCUGGCGGCGUGCCUAAUACAUGCAAGUAGAACGCAGUUGCGAACGGGUGAGUAACGCGUAGGUAACUGCCUCAUAGAGGGGGAUAACUAUUGGAAACGAUAGCUAAUACCGCAUACUUUGAGCUGGACCUGCGUUGUAUUAGCUAGUUGGGUAGGUAAAGACUCACCAAGGCGGCGAUACAUAGCCGACCUGAGAGGGUGUUCGGCCACCCUUGGACUGGUACCAGGCCCAGACUCCUACGGGCGGCAGCAGUAGGGAAUCUUCGGCAAUGGACGGAAGUCUGACCGAGCAACGCCGCGUGAGUGAAGAAGGUUUUCGGAUCGUAAAGCUCUGUUGUUAGAGAAGCGGUACCUAACCAGAAAGGGACGGCUAACUACGUGCCAGCCGCCGCGGUAAUUC